GUUUUUACAGUAAUUGUAUGAUUGAGUGGCAGUUGUCUUUUAUUGUAUUUGAAAAUUAGGUUUCUAACACUUUUUUUAGUGAACUAGAGACAGUGGUACAUUGAAGAUGGAACCCAUCAAACAAUACUUUGUACUGAAACUUUUCCAUAUUAGUUUUUCUUCAAUAACUCAUGUUUAACAAGACACCCAGACUUUUAUUGUAGACUUCCAUCAGUUUCAUCAACUAUUUAUUUUAUGAAUCUGUUUGCUGUAAUGAGUGAGGCAGCCCCUGAAAUGAGACAUGGAUUGUUUCAUCAGUUCACCUAAAUUUUAACAUUUUGGUGUGUGUGUGUUGUUGUUGUUGUUUACUGGAGCUUUUUUAAUGAUCAGGGUUUAAGUCGAAGAGUUCUCCAUCUGUGGUGAACCUCAUGAAUGCAGAAUCUGAAUUUAAGACAUUUUUUAUUGUCACGGAGGAGAGUGUUUACAUUCGGCUCAUCUGAAUAUCAUAAUGGAGUUUAUAAUUUUUAAAGUGUUU